rnacentral:rRNA from 1 species
CUGCGGGUCUUACCAUGCAAGUCGAACGAUGAUCCCAGCUUGCUGGGGGAUUAGUGGCGAACGGGUGAGUAACACGUGAGUAACCUGCCCUUGACUCUGGGAUAAGCCUGGGAAACUGGGUCUAAUACCGGAUAUGACUCCUCAUCGCAUGGUGGGGGGUGGAAAGCUUUUGUGGUUUUGGAUGGACUCGCGGCCUAUCAGCUUGUUGGUGGGGUAAUGGCCUACCAAGGCGACGACGGGUAGCCGGCCUGAGAGGGUGACCGGCCACACUGGGACUGAGACACGGCCCAGACUCCUACGGGAGGCAGCAGUGGGGAAUAUUGCACAAUGGGCGCAAGCCUGAUGCAGCGACGCCGCGUGAGGGAUGACGGCCUUCGGGUUGUAAACCUCUUUCAGUAGGGAAGAAGCGUAAGUGACGGUACCUGCAGAAGAAGCGCCGGCUAACUACGUGCCAGCAGCCGCGGUAAUACGUAGGGCGCAAGCGUUAUCCGGAAUUAUUGGGCGUAAAGAGCUCGUAGGCGGUUUGUCGCGUCUGCUGUGAAAGACCGGGGCUCAACUCCGGUUCUGCAGUGGGUACGGGCAGACUAGAGUGCAGUAGGGGAGACUGGAAUUCCUGGUGUAGCGGUGAAAUGCGCAGAUAUCAGGAGGAACACCGAUGGCGAAGGCAGGUCUCUGGGCUGUAACUGACGCUGAGGAGCGAAAGCAUGGGGAGCGAACAGGAUUAGAUACCCUGGUAGUCCAUGCCGUAAACGUUGGGCACUAGGUGUGGGGGACAUUCCACGUUUUCCGCGCCGUAGCUAACGCAUUAAGUGCCCCGCCUGGGGAGUACGGCCGCAAGGCUAAAACUCAAAGGAAUUGACGGGGGCCCGCACAAGCGGGCGGAGCAUGCGGAUUAAUUUCGAUGCAACGCGAAGAUCUUACCAAGGCUUGACAUGAACCGGGAAAGACCUGGGAAACAGUUGCCCCGCUUGCGGUCGGUUUACAGUGGGUGCAUGGUUGUCGUCAGCUCGUGUCGUGAGAAUGUUGGUUAAGUCCCGCAACGAGCGCAAACCCUCGUCUAUGUUGCCAGCGGUUUCGGGCGUGGACUCAUAGGAGACUGCGGUUCACCUCGGAGGAUGGUGGGACGACGUCAAAUCCAUCAUGCCCCCUUUAUGUCUUGGCUUCCACGCAAUGUGCCUU